UACGUAGGGUGCGAGCGUUAAUCGGAAUUACUGGGCGUAAAGCGUGCGCAGGCGGUCUGUUAAGACCGAUGUGAAAUCCCCGGGCUUAACCUGGGAACUGCAUUGGUGACUGGCAGGCUUUGAGUGUGGCAGAGGGAGGUAGAAUUCCACGUGUAGCAGUGGAAUGCGUAGAGAUGUGGAGGAAUACCGAUGGCGAAGGCAGCUUCCUGGGCCAACACUGACGCUCAUGCACGAAAGCGUGGGGAGCAAACAGG
rnacentral:rRNA from 1 species